AACGCACAUUGCGCCCAUCGGUAUUCCGUUGGGCAUGUCUGUUUGAGCGUCAUUACAAAUCUCGACGCGAGUCGGUUGUGAGCCCGCCGGGCCUUCCCGCCCGGCCGGCUUCAAAGUCAUGAGCUCUGCUGGCCGUCUUGCCAACCGUGACAUAGUAAACCACUUGUCCGGGGAGGCAUCGCGACGGUUCGGCCUGAACAACACCAAACCCACCAGGUUUGACCUCAGAUCAGACAAGGAUACCCGCUGAACUUAA
rnacentral:misc_RNA from 1 species